rnacentral:rRNA from 1 species
UACGUAGGGUCCGAGCGUUGUCCGGAAUUAUUGGGCGUAAAGGGCUCGUAGGCGGUUUGUCACGUCGGGCGUGAAAACUCAGGGCUCAACCCUGAGCGUGCGUUCGAUACGGGCAGACUAGAGGUAUGCAGGGGAGAACGGAAUUCCUGGUGUAGCGGUGGAAUGCGCAGAUAUCAGGAGGAACACCGGUGGCGAAGGCGGGUCUCUGGGCCGACAUUGACGCUGAGGAGCGAAAGCGUGGGGGAGCGAACAGG